rnacentral:lncRNA from 1 species
CACCGACCCUGGCAAACUGCAGGAGACAUUCAGUCCACGCCACAUAAAAACUAUUAAAGUGGGAUCGCCGCAGUUGAAAAGCCCGAUCAGUGCCUGGAGAUUAGAACGCGAGCCUUUAAAGUACACACGCACCCGGCACCGGGAAAGCCCAGGCGCCUGUGACCCUCCGAAGGACUCUGGUGUCGAAGUUUCCCCUUCGCGCUGUGCCUCUGGUGAAAACAGGACAUCCCCUUCGGCCACCCCACAACAAAUAGC